UGCGUAUCGUUUUGUUAAAUUUGCCUUUAGAUCUUUUUCUUGGUUGCCGUCGCUYUGGCUUGCAUCGGUUCCGCCGCCGCACAACACAUUGUCUAUCCRACACCAAUCAUCACUUCCUACUACCACCCAUACGGAUACACCUACCCCUUGACUUACAACUACAGGUUCGGUGCUUACCCAUACCUCUUGCGCCGUUGAAUUACACAUCCAACGCCUUCACCCUUUCAAUCAAUACACCUUGAAGAAGAAUAAACAGAAUCUGAUCUAGGUAAAACGAUAUUUAAAUGAUAUGUAGUGCUUUUAUUUAUUUGGUAAAAAAAAAUUGUAAUUUWUAUUGAAAUGUUGUAAUUAUUGCCGUAAUCAUAUUAUAUAUACACGUCAUGUUAAUAUAAAAAAUAAAUAUUUUCAUACAAAACGUA